rnacentral:lncRNA from 1 species
UCGCGAACACAGAAGUGCCAGAAGAUAGCUUGUGUCUCUCUGAAACUCGCCAUAUGCGUGGCGUGCCAGGCAAAUGGGGACCAACGAUUUUCAUGCCCUGGAGUGCGUUCUCUUUUGUGUCUGGUUGCGGGAAGUUCGCUGGACGUCGCAAAGAAAUAAUGUGUAUUAUUAGCGUGCCUCAGCUCGUCCACUACGUAACGGCGUGUAGACUGGGAGUCGACGCAGCACCGGCAACUUGGAGAGCGCUUUUCGACCGCGUCGUACCAUUCAAAAGUGGCGAGGCCGUAACCCACACCAGUGUCCACAUAAUGGAGGAGCCAGCAGAAAUGCAGGGAAACCUUGAAUGACUGCCAUAGCGCAGUGUGUAAUCUGAUUGCUUGGUUCAGGUACACCUAGCAAAUGUAUACAUUGACGAGGAGUGGCACCUGCUCUAGUGCCAUGGCUAGGACUCCCUGUUCUGCAAAGAACUGGCAAAACUGGUGUGCGGAGUUCUGGCACUCAGGAUAGGAGCAUCACAGGGGCUCUUUGGUGGUGCUUCCUGAACGACCGCAAUUUCAUUGAGAAGCCGGCAUUGAGCGUCCAUAAAUUGGAAGCUGUGGACAGUAUCAUCGACAUUGUUUCAAAUUUGUUUGUGUAAUGUUUGUAACAAUACAUGUAUUACAGUGAAA